CUCCGGUUGCAGGUGGGGCGCAGCAUGUCGGAGUACGACGAGGCGCCGCUCAACCUCGUGGCCGGCCACGUGGGCGCCGAGGAGACGCACUGACUGCGACCGCCGCCCGAGCCUCUCGCGGACUCUGCACUCAUUAUCUAAAGCUGUGAUGCGUAUGCAGUCACGCGAGAUCGAUUGGAUCGUGCAGCAUGCGCCAGCUUUAGGUAAUAGACCUGGACGAGUACUGGGUACUGAGCUCAUGUUCCAAUUUUUAAACCGCGUUUCAAAUGACGGCCAGUUGAAUACCAUAGACGAUUUCUAAUUCCGCCAAAGUUUUAACUGUCUGAAAAUAUGAGAUUAAUAUUUGUUAUUCAAGAAAUUGAAGCACAGCCACAAAUCAGAUAAAAAGUUUUAAUAACUGUUUACAAAAUUUCGAUCACUUAGCUCGAAAUUAUUUCCUCGUUGAUGUUAAAUUUCAUAAUUAUAUAUUUUCGUAAUUAAUACGAAAAGUCACAGACGUUAACGGAAUCUAAAUUUGAACUAAGCAUAUUUUCACUUAAAUAAAAUAGAAAUAACUAUUAUUAUAGAUAAAUAAUACAAUUAUAUAUAUUUUUUUACAUUAAUGUAUAUUUCAAAUAUUUUUCUCUCUAUAAGAAUUAAACAGUAUAAAUAAUAAUUGUUAAUUACGGGACACUUGUUUAAAUUUAGGUUCCUCUAAAUCUCGUCUCAGAUCUGAUUUAUAAAUUGUGGUUACUAUGUAAUUAAAAAAAAAAAACUAUGCUCAGGGCAUUGAAACGAAGCAAUAUGUGGCGCGGUCAUAAGUAAUUCUUAGUGCCUAUCGUAGGUCUAAAGGUACCAAUAAUAAACAGAGAUUCGAGUAUUUUUCCCCUACAUUGUGAUAUAUAAGCGAUAAAUUAUGAAUGUUGUGAACGAUUAUUAAAUAUGUGAAUAUUUAAAAGUUUUCGUUGUAUUUAGUUUUUGUAACUUAAACAGAUUGAACAGGAACGUACUGCGUUGUACUUUCGAAACCUUGCCUUAAAUGCUCUCUUGAUAUUGAUGAAAUUAUAUUUACGGUUACCUAUUGCAGGAAGCAAGUAUUCAUUUAGGAUUAGGUCCAGUAUAAGGAUAUUGUAAAUUUUUUUUAUCAUAUACUUAGUUUUAAUGACGAUUCGUAAAAUAUAUAGUUAUUUAUUUCUCAUUUCGGUCAGUAUUUAAAUGUAAGUAUUUUGUUUUCAAUCCAGACGAGUGUCCGCUUAUAAAUGUAAGGUACGAGGCGGUCUGUGUCAGAACAAUAAUAAUGAGUCUCGUUAUACAAUAGUGUAAGCGAAAUUGAUGUAGUUAUUUUCAAAAGUUUAGUAUACAUAAGAUGAUGAUGAUAAUAAGCAAUAAUAUGUAAAACUCUUCCCAUAAUACAUUUUUACUAUAAUUAUAUUCUAUAUAUCUAUUAGGUAGCAUUGCACAUUUUUAAUCUGCAUGAUACCGUCAUAAUUGAUAUACAUUUUUUGUAUUACCUAUAGUAUUUAGUUUUAGUUGUUGGGAAAAUAAGGAACGAAUUUUGAAUAUUCCAUUAGGUUGAAUGUUACGCAUUUUGGCUAAGCAUUCGUAAUAAAACUCACAACCAAAUCGUCGUGGCAUUAUCUUUUUAACGGAAUCACCUCAUUAUGGUCAGUGUUUUGUAUAUAAUUGUGUUGAAAGCGGAAAGCAUUUAAAUACCUUCUAAUUAAUACGGGGCUGUUUAGUUGUCGACCCUCUGUCUUGACUCAUUCGAUCGCCGUCCUUCACUUAACGUCUCUACUUAAUUUAGCGUUAAUUUAUUUAUUGUAUGAAUCCCCACGGGCCAGUAAAAUAAAUCAGUCUAUGAGACAUUGUGAUAUCUUUAGCUAGACCUUGCUUACCUUUUUUUACGUUUUUACGGUCGAACUACGUAGCUUCUGUUGCAGCUAAUAUUUAUAUGUAUUAUCACGCGUAUGUGAAUAUUAUUGUAUUUGAAAAGCUUUAAAAAUUGAGAUUAUUUAUCCUUCUUAUUCGGGAUCACUGUAUAGAUGGAGAUGCUGUAAUAUUUAUACUUGGCAUCGCUUUUUCUUAUUCCGAGUAUGAAACUGUAAAUUACCUUGACAAUAAAAAUAUUGACCUUAUAGCGAAUAAUUUAUCGUAUUAAAAUAAUCUCUUAAAUUUUGCUCUCUAUAAUAAUCCUGCUCUCUUUCUCUUAACAAUAUGCAAUCGUUAACGGCAUUAUGAUAUGAGUAUUAAAGUGUUUGAAUAUAAUUUAAAUAGAUAAAUAAUUAAUUAGCUUUUUAUUUUAUAAUCGGAUUAGGAUAUAUUUAUUUUCGUCGAUAUAAAUUCAGUGAAUAUUUGCGAUCGAGUAGUUUUCGGUCGUCGUAAUCGUGCGCGUAGCUGACGUCCUCCAGUAACAUUGCUGCUAGCAGUUGUGACACAGUAUUAUUUUUAUUCAUUAUUACUCUGUACAUUUUAUUAGUUGUAUUACGUUUUUAGUUAUAUCUAGUUUACUCUCGAAUCUGGUUAGACGAUUGGUUGAAUCUCUUACAAAAAAACCUCAUAGCGAUAUUUAUUAUUUAUAUACAUGUGACCAGUUACAUUUUUCAAUGUAAUAUUCUUAAAUUUUCGUCCUCGUUAUCGAGAGCGGUCGCGGUAUACUGAAGCAAUUUGGUUAUUUAUGUUUUAGGUUUAAUAUAAUUAACGGAUUACGGUAUUAAGAUACGAAGAACAAUGUAUAUCGUUACUAACAAACAGGUUGUGUCGUGUGUGCUUACGUCUAACAAGCAUGUGUUUGUGAUUUUUGUUUUGUCUCGUCUGUGCCGUGCGCGGACAGGGUAGCACCUCUAUUUUGUUAUAUUAUAAUUUAUGCUGAAAUAUUGGCUAUUGAUGUAUUUGUAAUAAUUCCACGAUGUAAAAAUAUUAUGAUAAGACUGACGGUCAAUCUCUAAAAAUGUCUUCUGUUUUAUUUUAUACGUAACAUUGUAAUCUACUUUAUUCCUCCGCGAUGGAGCCUGUAUUAUCGAUGAAGUAUUCAAAUCGAUAUGUGAUAUGUGUUAAAGUGCGUGUUUCCGAUAAGCAAUAACAUUGUGAUACGUAGCGAUGAGCAAUUGAAUGCAUUAAACUGAACUUAUUCCGCAUAAUUUAAAGUUAAUAUUGUCAAUUAGAAUGAUAUAUGUGCUUGAUAUUAAAUCUUACAAUUGCUAGACGUGGUAAAACGGUGAAAUACUUUCAUUUUUUUUAUAAUAAUUAUUUUUCAAUAGUCUAGAAAUUGUAAGUUUUAUUAAGCUGUGAAUGAUUCCAUGUAAAAAAGUAGGUAUUAAAUUUAAUAAGAUCUUCCGUGACAGUUCGCUCUAACAAAAAAUUUGUUCUGUACUAUAUGUCGUCCGUUUUUCUUUCGAAUUGUAUAAUUUAUACAUUUUUUGUAAUAUUCUACUUUCCAGUUACAUUAAAGGACCAGUAAAUUUGUUGAUUAUGUCAAAUAACGUAUACUCAUUUCAACGUAAGUUUCAGCAUAAAUUAUCAGUAAGUGAUAUUCUUGAGAUGCGUUGCUGGAAUACUCAUUGUGAAACAUUAAUUAUUGUUGUAUAGAUGAUAAAUAAUGUGACUUACGCAGGGAUGGAUACUUAAAUUAUUAAAUUUUAACUGAUAUAUUGGCUAUGUAGUGAGUAGAAUAUUUUUUUACAAAUAAAAUAUAGCAGCUAUACUUUUGUUAUUUUAUUUUCUCCCUUCUUUCUAUAUGCUUACAAUGAAGAUAUAAAAAAAACUUUAACUGUAUGAUUUGGUUAAAAAAAAUAAAGGAAACCAUA
rnacentral:misc_RNA from 1 species